CGCACAGUAAACGAUGAAUACUAGUUGUUUGCGAUACACAGCAAGUGACACAGCGAAAGCGUUAAGUAUUCCACCUGGGGAGUACGCCGGCAACGGUGAAACUCAAAGGAAUUGACGGGGGCCCGCACAAGCGGAGGAACAUGUGGUUUAAUUCGAUGAUACGCGAGGAACCUUACCCGGGCUUGAAUUGCAGACGAAUGGCGUGGAAACAUGUCAGCCAGCAAUGGCGUCUGUGAAGGUGC
rnacentral:rRNA from 1 species